UUGUGUCUGUCUUCUAAAGAUGGCGUUGAGUAAAACAUUCGGUCAAAAGCCAAUAAAAUUUCAACUCGAAGAAGAUGGCGAUUUUUACAUGAUAGGCUCUGAGGUUGGAAAUUAUUUGCGUAUGUUCAGAGGUUCGCUGUACAAAAGGUACCCAUCGUUGUGGCGCAGACUCGCUUCAGUAGAGGAGAGGAAAAAGAUCGCCGCGUCGUCACACGAUCAUGGUUACACAACUUUAGCCACCAGUGUGACUCUGCUGAAGGCGUCUGAGUGUGAAGAGAUCUUCGAGGGCAAUGAUGAGAAGUACAAGGCAGUGUCCAUCAGCACAGAACCUCCAGCCUACCUCAGGGAACAGAAGGCCAAGAGGAACAGUCAGUGGGUCCCCACGCUCCCCAACAGUUCCCACCACCUGGACGCUGUGCCUUGUUCCACCACCAUCAACCGAAACCGCAUGGGACGCGACAAGAAAAGGACCUUCCCCCUGUGUUUCGAUGACCACGACCCAGCGGUGAUCCAUGAAAACGCCUCACAGACAGAGGUUCUGGUUCCCAUCCGAUUGGACAUGGAGAUAGACGGCCAGAAGCUCCGAGACGCCUUCACCUGGAAUAUGAACGAGAAGCUGAUGACGCCAGAGAUGUUUGCAGAGAUAUUGUGUGACGAUUUGGACCUGAACCCACUGACGUUCGUCCCAGCCAUCGCCUCCGCCAUCCGGCAGCAGAUAGAGUCCUACCCUACUGACAGCAUCCUAGACGAACAGACCGAUCAGAGAGUCAUCAUCAAGCUGAACAUACACGUGGGAAACAUUUCCCUGGUGGACCAGUUUGAGUGGGACAUGUCCGAGAAGGAGAACUCUCCAGAAACGUUUGCGCUGAAGCUGUGCUCUGAGCUCGGUCUCGGAGGAGAGUUCGUCACCACCAUCGCCUACAGCAUCCGCGGCCAGCUCAGCUGGCAUCAGAGGACGUACGCCUUCAGGUCUGAUUUCAGGUCAAUAUACUUCAAAAUUUCUUGACCUUCUCUCCCUCCUUACCCCCACUACGUUUACCCCCACUUCCACCUUCAUGCCCUGGGAAGCUGAGUACCCUCAUCUCUUCUUUAUUUUGAUCUUGAGCUUUUGCAGGGCUCGUUCCUAAAGGUUUCUACAAUAAAAUUGCUUUUUAACAGGACACCAGUGCAAAAUGGUGGAUCUUUUUGUAAAGCUAAUUAUAAGAGAGAUAUAUAUAUAUAUGUUUACAAUGACAUUAUUUAAGAGUAACACCAAGGUUUGCUUGAGUGAUUCAUUGUCAUGUCUGCUGCAUGUGCUGAAGUGAUAUAUAUAAUUAAUUCAAUCUUUUAGUUUAUCUGUAUUUUUGUGCAUGAUGCAUCAGAUUAUUUAAUGUACAUACCAAGUAGACAUUGAAUAAUAAUAAUAAUAAUGAUAAUAAUAAUAAUAAUUUAAAGGCAUUUCUGCAGAUCUUCAUCACUACUAUGCCUUAAGGGUGACCAGUGGAAAUAUCAUUUCCUCCAACAUGCAGUCAUGAUCAAGCACGUCCGUACUGACUUCCUGUGACCGCGAUGUUCUUUUCCGUAGUGAGAACCCCUUGCCGACGGUAGAGAUUGCCAUUCGGAACACGGGCGAUGCCGAUCAGUGGUGCCCCCUGCUGGAAACGCUGACAGAUGCAGAGAUGGAAAAGAAGAUCAGAGAUCAGGACAGAAACACAAGGCGCAUGCGGCGACUUG